GACGAACGCUGGCGGCGUGCUUAACACACGCAAGUCGAGCGGUAAGGCCCUUUCGGGGGUACACGAGCGGCGAACGGGUGAGUAACACGUGGGUGACCUGCCCUCAGCUCUGGGAUAAGCCUGGGAAACUGGGUCUAAUACCGGAUAUGACUCCAUGACGCAUGUUGUGGGGUGGAAAGCCUUGUGCGGCUGAGGAUGGGCCCGCGGCCUAUCAGCUUGUUGGUGGGGUGAUGGCCUACCAAGGCGACGACGGGUAGCCGGCCUGAGAGGGCGACCGGCCACACUGGGACUGAGACACGGCCCAGACUCCUACGGGAGGCAGCAGUGGGGAAUCUUGCGCAAUGGGCGAAAGCCUGACGCAGCGACGCCGCGUGAGGGAUGACGGCCU
rnacentral:rRNA from 1 species